CCCGAGUGUAGACGCCAUAUUGGUACGCCUGAGGAAGACACGGGACGGAGCUGCCGUUGUCUUUCUUUUCAUCACAAUGUUUUUCCACGACUCGCGUUCACCAGUUCCAUCAGUUACCCUGUAGAGGGGGAUGUUGAGCUUGGUGAGGAGGAGUGUGACGGCCGCUCUCAGGGACCGGAUGAACUCCGGCAGACUGCUGAUCUCCGGACUCUCGUCUUCGCUGCUCAACAGGUCCGCGGCCGGCUCGGAGGCUGCGGUGUAGUUGUGACUCUGCAGCCACUCCCACUCCUCCCUGACACACAGAGGCACAGUCCAGCCACUCCGCUGCACAUCAGAAACUCUGCUGGGGUCUCUGUUGUUGCUCCUCGAGUGGAGUCUUCGUUUCAAUCAGGUAAGCUCUCUCUCUCCGACCACCCUGGAGGAGCAGCAUGAUGGAUGAGACACAAGAAGACAAGCUACCUUUGAAGGAGGCGAACAAACUUGGUGGCGGACUGGAAGAGCUGUUUGAUGCCCCGGGACAUGGAUAGACGCUUGCUGGGACUUUGAGGUCCCGGCGGAGGCACCUAUGCAGUACGCUCGGUAGUGAGGCUCCUUGGCGUCCUCCAGCAGCUUCUUGACCAGACCCUGAGGAUUUCUGAACUGUGACUUCACACCCACACACUGCCUCCAACCUGCAGGGAACAGAGUCGCACUUGUGUAAUUGAACAUCUUGUUAUACACAAACCUGGUGGGCGGCUUGGUGGGAGUCAGACGUGAUUUCUUUCAGCGAUCAGAGUGUCAGCAUCAAUAUUCUAAAUCUGUAUCUCAGUCCAACUACAGAACCACGGGAUUCACUGUUAUCGAUCGAUAGAUCUCUGUUCUGAUCAGACAAAGGGUAAGAAUCCAGUCAUCAUACUCACUGGAAGGGGCGAUGCUGCCGGGGGUGGAGUCCUGCGGCGGCCCCCAUCCCUUCACGUUGUAGGCGCGGACUCUCACCGAGUACUGCACUCCCUGCAGGCAGAGAAGGUUCAGUCUGCUCAGCUGUCUCCUCACGAGUCAGUAGUUAGUGUCGAUGUUUGUGCCUUACUGUGGUGAGUCCCCUGAUGCUGUAGGAGGGGUUCUUGGUCUCGGUGACUUCAGCUGAGCCCAGGACAUUUUUGAAGCUUUCUGUGCUGCUCCACUCCACUAUGGACAAGAAGCACUCUCACUGAUGCGCACAAGCCGUCAGCAGCAGGGUCCAGACAAAAGGAUGUUCACAAUCUUGACAUUUUUUUAUCAGUCAGAGACCCCAUACAGGAAGAUAAAAAAAUUGACAUUGAUUUGUGGUGCGCUACGAUAUUCUCAACAUUGUGGCGACCUAGAAUCUUGUCCUUGAAGCCAGAAAUGCUGUGUGAUCACACGAACUACCGUAAACGUGGAACACAGGAUGGGAUGAUGGUAAAUAUUGAACAUUUGCCAUUGUUGUUGCAGAUUACUGGGGCAAAGUCACCCUUAACCCAGCUCACAAGAGAAAAGAUAAUGGGAUGCUUGCCAUCCUUGGUUGGGAUGGGAUGAAAUCAGGACAAAAACAGACCAACUGCAUGAAUGUGUGAUGUGUGAACCCACUUUCAAGCAUUUGAGGUGUGGUCUGAUGUCGCUCGAAGAAUUAGGGCACUGCAUUUGGAGACUGACCUUUGUAGCGAGUGAUCAGACCCAUGUUGCUGCCCUCGGGCUCUUUGAUGACCACGAACAGAGACGACGUACUGGUCACCAGCACCGACACAUGACUGGGUGGACCUGGCAGCUCUGCAGAGAAGAUCAGACUGAAUAAACAUCAAACUCAAAGAGUGAGAUUUGAAAUAGGCGUGUUUAUUUGACUCCUCUCUGAGGUACAGCUAAGCCAACAACACUGGUGGGUCACGAGCUUCCCUCUCACCAGCUUGGACUCAAGGAAGUUAUUUGUUAUGGGAGGGGCUUUUAGAAUAGAGACUCAAAAUUCUACAACUCCAAAAUUUCCCCCCCAAAAAAUCCAUGACAACAUCAUGACUUUGUGAACCUUUUAUUGAUUGAUAUUUCUUGUGAUGAUUGAUAUAUUAUGUAAACAAAAUCCCACUGAGAGGCUGAAGGUGCAGUGUGAGCAACUGGUUGGUAUUACCUGCCAGUGGGUCAGAACUUCAUGUGGGUGUUGACCUGAGGACCUGUACAUCUGUCGCACCUGUGUGAACACUGCCCCGCACUUCAGCAGGUGUGUCUUGCUGCAUGAGGUAACACUUGGCUAACACUUGACUGAUGCCAUUCAAAACAAACCUCUGUCUCCACCAAAAGGAUGGGUUUUUAAGGAGACAUCUGUGGACUGACAUGACAGGUGUUUCCUUUUCCAUGGAAGGAAUUAAAUCUCUAGAAUGGAUUGGUGGACUCUGACAGUCGGCUUGCUAUAUCUGAGAGAGAAAAGGCAUGUAUUUAUUCAUAUAUAGGAGAAUAUUGAUGACUCUAUUGCUCAUAUGUGACUGUGAUGUCAUUAGAGAAUUAGUGCUGUCGACCUAAAAAUAAUAAAGUGGUUGUCACCAUGCUGGAGCCACCAGAGACGUGCAGAGUUGUGCUUUCAUACAUUUUUUAAGCCCCAGGGAGAGGAGGCAGCACUUAACCCGGCAGCAGCUUCCUACUGGAACGUCAAUGCUUUGCUGCAGUCACAUCUUGAUAAUCUCCAUGAGCGCAUGUAAAUCAUGAUAUCGAUGUACGAUGAAUAAGACCAUCACAUCACCAUUAGUGCAAUAUUAGCCCCAGCGUGAAUCCCAUAAUAAAAGCAGGCGCUUAAGAAGCUUAAUGGUAUUCUGCGGCUUGAUUCUCGCUGGAGGGCAUUGCUGAUUUUCAAGCAAUAACCCAGGCGUACGGGCUAAUAGGAAAAGCCUCAGACAAAUAAUACUUUCAAGCGAACAUCUUCAGCAUUCACUUAACCUUUUCUGUCGGAAGACAUUAGUCACGAAUACUGGGUUUGGAAAACAAGUUGCAAAGGUGAAGCCAGGUAAUUUAAAUGUGAGUGCUGGCAAGAGAAGCUUUCUAAAGCCAUUCAAGGAAGCUUCAAGUCGAGUGAGGCUUCACGGUGCCAAAAAGCCAUCAGUCAGAUUCUUGACACUAACAGCUUGCAUGACCCGGCGCCAAACUUUUAAAUGUGAUCCCUGAAGCCACCGAGUGUGGGAGAAUUGAGGAAGCUUGAUCGAGCAAGUCUGGUGAAUAUUACAUGAACGGGCCGUCGAGGAGACUUGUAAGGAGGUGGAAUUAAAAGCUCCGGCAGGGGGACUGAUGAAACCAGGUCAUGAUGAAAACUUGAAAACAGACAGAUGCAUUUCGAGGAAUUCCAAUGUCCAAAAAAUCAAACUUUCAACAUCCUUGAGUCAGAGCGAGUUGACUUCUCACUCAGGGCCGGCUACAGUCAAAACACUGCUUUUUAACUUGGAUUCUUCAGAUUUUCUAAACUAAUAUGUCCCCUGAGUCAAAUGUUCUAAAUAGUUAAAUGUUUAAAUUAAGAGUGGAGACACGCCACUCGUUCCUCAUCUUUAUGAAAGAUUUAUUUGAGUUGUUUGGUUGUAACAUGGUUUAUUCAGUCCCCUCUGCUUCACUCUGAUACCAGCCAGGAUUGGAAAACCACCUCCAUUAACGUUUGUUUUGCCUCAAUGUUACUUGCUUGUACUAGAGCUAAACCACUGAGGCCU